ACGGCAGGCAACAAAAUAGCUCUCAAGAGGAGACUCCACACUCCUGUUUUACCUGGGACGCAGCGUGAGUGGAAUGCCCUGACGGGGGCAAGGACUGGCGGAUACAGCGGGCAGGGCUGGUGAAUACAGCAGCCUCU
rnacentral:lncRNA from 1 species